CCAUUUCCAAAUGUUCUGCAUAUUAACUUUGAUAUUCACAUCCUUAUCAAUCACAUAGUAGUACGUAAUGUUAUGAAAUCGUUGUACGAUCAGCUAUUCCCGAGGCAUCAACAACAAAAAUGAUGCAGGCCAUAAUGCAAUAACAUUACAACACACCUAGCAACUUGAUCACUUCACUCUGAUGCAUUAACAUGGUACUAUACUACUAUUGAACAUAUAUAUUGCACUUUUUAAUUUAUUGAACUUUAUGACCAAAGCCAUGUGAAUUAGCCUCCAUAACACGCUUGUGGGGAUUACACUAGUUCGUUGUUGUUGUAAUGGUAGCCAAUAUCCCAAUAUCAUUCCUCAAGGUGGUUCUGUUUUCAAAAUGUUCAGAUUCCAGAAUUUGCUGGAUAGUAGGAGGAACUCUGAGCAGAAUAUACUAAAUACUGCUUAAACGUUGAUGUUUUUG
rnacentral:lncRNA from 1 species